GGAUAUGUAGCUCAGUGGUAGAGCACAUGCUUAGCGUGCAUGAAGCCCUGGGUUGUAUCCCCAGCACUA
rnacentral:tRNA from 1 species